rnacentral:rRNA from 1 species
UACGUAGGGAGCAAGCGUUGUCCGGAAUCAUUGGGCGUAAAGCGCGCGUAGGCGGCCCUGUAAGUCCGUUGUGAAAGUCAAAGGCUCAACCUUUGAAAGCCGAUGGAUACUGCAGGGCUAGAGUUCGGAAGAGGCGAGUGGAAUUCCUGGUGUAGCGGUGGAAUGCGCAGAUAUCAGGAGGAACACCAAUAGCGAAGGCAGCUCGCUGGGACGAUACUGACGCUAAGGCGCGAAAGCGUGGGGAGCAAACAGG